rnacentral:rRNA from 1 species
UACAGAGGUGGCAAGCGUUGUUCGGAAUUACUGGGCGUAAAGGGCGCGUAGGCGGCCAUCUAAGUCAGACGUGAAAUCCCCGAGCUCAACUUGGGAAUUGCAAUGGAUACUGGCAGGCUGGAGUAUGGUAGAGGAAGGUGGAAUUCCCGGUGUAGCAGUGAAAUGCGUAGAGAUCGGGAGGAACACCAGUGGCGAAGGCGGCCUUCUGGACCAAUACUGACGCUCAUGCACGAAAGCGUGGGGAGCAAACAGG